rnacentral:rRNA from 1 species
GCAUCGAUGAAGAACGCAGCGAAAUGCGAUAAGUAAUGUGAAUUGCAGAAUUCAGUGAAUCAUCGAAUCUUUGAACGCACAUUGCGCCCGCCAGCAUUCUGGCGGGCAUGCCUGUUCGAGCGUCAUUUCAACCCUCAAGCUCUGCUUGGUGUUGGGGCCCUACAGCUGAUGUAGGCCCUCAAAGGUAGUGGCGGACCCUCCCGGAGCCUCCUUUGCGUAGUAACUUUACGUCUCGCACUGGGAUCCGGAGGGACUCUUGCCGUAAAACCCCCCAAUUUUCCAAAGGUUGACCUCGGAUCAGGUAGGAAUACCCGCUGAACUUAAGCAUAUCAAUAAGCGGAGGAA